UACGAAGGGGGCUAGCGUUGUUCGGAUUUACUGGGCGUAAAGCGCACGUAGGCGGCUCGUUAAGUCAGGGGUGAAAUCCUGGAGCUCAACUCCAGAACUGCCCUUGAUACUGGCGAUCUCGAGUCCGGAAGAGGUGAGUGGAACUCCUAGUGUAGAGGUGGAAUUCGUAGAUAUUAGGAAGAACACCAGUGGCGAAGGCGGCGCACUGGUCCGGGACUGACGCUGAGGUGCGAAAGCGUGGGGAGCAAACAGG
rnacentral:rRNA from 1 species